rnacentral:rRNA from 1 species
AGUAAACGUUGGCGGCGUGCCUAACACAUGCAAGUCGUACGAUCCUUAAGUGGCUUGCCAUUUAAGGAGAGUGGCGAACGGGUGAGUAACACGUGAGUAAUCUGCCCCUAAGUGAGGAAUAACUCCGCGAAAGCGGGGCUAAUACCGCAUGAAACUCUGAAGCAAACGCUUUCAGAGUCAAAGCCCCUCGGGGCGCUUGGGGAUGAGCUUGCGCCCUAUUAGCUAGUUGGUGGGGGUAAUGGCCUACCAAGGUAAUGAUGGGUAGCCGGCCUGAGAGGGUGUACGGCCACACUGGAACUGCGACACGGUCCAGACUCCUACGGGAGGCAGCAGUGGGGAAUUUUGCGCAAUGGGCGAAAGCCUGACGCAGCGACGCCGCGUGGAGGAUUAAGGCCUUCGGGUUGUAAACUCCUGUCAGAGGUGAAGAAUGCCCUUUAGGGGGUUUGACGGUAACCUCAGAGGAAGCCCCCGGCUAACUACGUG